UAACACUUAAUGAAAUUUUGGCCCGACAAAUUUGUCAAACUGAAAGAAACCUAAAAACCUUCUCUCAGCUCGCCCUCACUCUCAAACCCACCUCCUCUCUUGCUCUCGCUUUCGUUCUUCAAACUGAAAACCCAAUCCUCCCCUCCGCGCAUCAGCCCGCACAGCCGCGCCAGCAGCCCACCCGCCUACGCCCCAGCGCCCUCCCCACCUGUGCAGAUCCCAGAAGCCCCGCGCGGCCCCGCCUGCGCAGAUCCCAGCAGCCACAGCUCACCUCAGUAACUCGCGCGCAGCCUCCCACCAGACUGGCCUCAGCCCUGCCGCCAGCCCGGUCUCAUCCAACAUGGAAACUGAAAACCCAGAAUCAUCUCAAGCAUCUCACCUCGCAAAAUAGAAAACCCCAUUCGAGCCAAACGAUCUCGGUCUCAAUCUCAAUCCGUAUCAUGGUCUCAGUCUGAGUUCGCAUCUAUCACGGCUAGGCGAUUGCAUUGGGUAGCAGCACAAGCGAUUCAGGCUGAGUCUGUUAUCUCUUUAAUCCAAAAUAGGAAGAGGAAAGUUCAAGGGCAAGCCCACGGGUCACUGCAACUUCUCCACUCACGAAGAGAUGGUAAAGCUUUGAAGAUAAGUUAUAGGUUUCUGGUAGUGAUUUGGCUUGAAAUCUGGUAGUGAUUUCAAUUCGCAGCAGUCAAUUUGAAGGUAUUGGAGUUUGAUUCGCUGUAGGCCAUUUGAAGGGAAACUUGAUUAAGUUUUGAUAAUUGAGUUGUGGAGAGCAUGCACUGUUAGUGUGCUUGGGCGAAUCCCCAAGCACAGGGAGAUCAGCCUAAAGUGAGUGUUAUGGUCCUUCUCGGUGUUUACAUGACCCUUGCAUUUGGGAGCUCGUGGUCUAUAUUUAUUAGGGCUGUGUUGGUAGCUACCUUUGGUCUAGAAGCUGCACAGAAAUUCUUUCUGAAGAUGCUUAGGAGUGUUUUCAGCGCACCAAUGUCUUUCUUUGAUUCUACUCCUGCUGGACGGAUUUUGAAUCCAAGAGAUGCAAGUUGGUUCUGAACUGAGGAAGAGGAAGCUGCUGUUCUGUGUGUUACUAGAUUAAAGGCCAAAUAAAGGAGGUCUUUGUGGUGCUGCACUGCCAAAUUAGUCCAGGGUCAACAAAUGCCUUGGUUAUAUCUAAGCAGACCAUUCUACUUCGUGUAGAGGUAGUGAGUAGCUGCUCAUGUCUUUCUAUAACAACAAGGCAAACCGCUAAUUUUCAAGCCAACAUCCAUCAAACGCUCAAGACUACAUAAUGAAGGUUUGAUGUUGGACAAGGAGUUCAGAAGUUCAAAGCGGGCGAUAAUGUUGUAGCAUUUCACCAUGUGAGAAGAGCCUCUGCUUCAGAAUUGGAAUGAACAGUAGUAGUAAGAGAAAAUGCUAACAACUGAAGCUGCUUUGUGUUAACUACUUGUUUCUAUGUACUUAUUAUGUCAAGAUAAUGUACUGAUGACUUGUACUGUACUUAUUAUGUCAAGAUAAUGUACUGAUGACUUGUACAUAUGGAGUUGUUAAUAUAGAUAUAUAACUGAUUC